rnacentral:rRNA from 1 species
UACGGGGGGGGCAAGCGUUGUUCGGAAUUACUGGGCGUAAAGGGCUCGUAGGUGGCCAACUAAGUCAGACGUGAAAUCCCUCGGCUUAACCGGGGAACUGCGUCUGAUACUGGAUGGCUUGAGUUUGGGAGAGGGAUGCGGAAUUCCAGGUGUAGCGGUGAAAUGCGUAGAUAUCGGGAGGAACACCAGUGGCGAAGGCGGUUGCCUGGGGCUUUGCUGACGCUGAUGCGCGAAAGCGUGGGGAGCGAUCCGG